GGUACGGAGCGGCGGACGGGUGAGUAACGCGUGGGUAACCUACCCUCAGGAGGGGGAUAACCUGGGAAACCGGGGCUAAUACCCCAUAAUACCCUGAGGUUACCUCGGGGUUAAAGGUGGCCUAGGUCCCGAUGUUUCAUCGGGACAUGCUGCCGCCUGAGGAUGGGCCCGCGUCCUAUCAGGUAGUUGGUGGGGUAAUGGCCCACCAAGCCUAAGACGGGUAGCCGGCCUGAGAGGGUGACCGGCCACACCGGGACUGAGACACGGCCCGGACUCCUACGGGAGGCAGCAGUGAGGAAUCUUGGGCAACGCCCGAAAGGGUGACCCAGCGACGCCGCGUGGGGGAUGAAGGCCUUCGGGUCGUAAACCCCUUUUGGCAGGGAAGAAUCCUCGGGAGGUGAAUAGCCUUCCGGGGUGACGGUACCUGCCGAAUAAGCCCCGGCUAACUCCGUGCCAGCAGCCGCGGUAAUACGGAGGGGGCGAGCGUUAUCCGGAAUCACUGGGCGUAAAGUGUGCGUAGGCGUCCCGGCAAGUUUCGGGUGAAAUCUCCCGGCUUAACCGGGAAAUUGCCCGAAAUACUGCCGGGAUAGAGUGCGGGAGAGGAGAGCGGAAUUCCCGGUGUAGCGGUGAAAUGCGUAGAUAUCGGGAAGAACACCAGUGGCGAAGGCGGCUCUCCAGCCCGACACUGACGCUGAGGCACGAAAGCCAGGGGAGCGAACGGGAUUAGA
rnacentral:rRNA from 1 species